rnacentral:misc_RNA from 1 species
UUUCCGUAGGUGAACCUGCGGAAGGAUCAUUAACGAGUUAGGGUCUUCCAGGCCCGACUUCCCAACCCUAUGAUUAUUGAACCUCUGUUCCUUCGGCGGACCUGCCUCACGACCGCCGGAGGACCGCCGCGAGGCGUCCUCUGGCCAGCGUCCGCCGAUGGCCAACCACUUAACUCGGAAUGAAUCGUGUCAUUAUGUCUAAUUCUAUGAUUAAAUUAAAGUAAAACUUUCAACAACGGAUCUCUUGGUUCUG